GGGAUUGCCCUAGUAACGGCGAGUGAAGCGGCAACAGCUCAAAUUUGAAAUCUGGCUCUUUCAGAGUCCGAGUUGUAAUUUGCAGAGGGCGCUUUGGAGUUGGCAGCGGUCCAAGUUCCUUGGAACAGGACGUCACAGAGGGUGAGAAUCCCGUACGUGGUCGCUAGCCUUCGCCGUGUAAAGCCCCUUCGACGAGUCGAGUUGUUUGGGAAUGCAGCUCUAAAUGGGAGGUAAAUUUCUUCUAAAGCUAAAUACUGGCCAGAGACCGAUAGCGCACAAGUAGAGUGAUCGAAAGAUGAAAAGCACUUUGGAAAGAGAGUCAAAUAGCACGUGAAAUUGUUGAAAGGGAAGCGCUUGCAGCCAGACUUGCCUGUAGUUGCUUAUCCGGACUCUUGUCCGGUGCACUCUUCUAUAGGCAGGCCAGCAUCAGUUUGGGCGGUUGGAUAAAGGUCUCUGUCACGUACCUCUCUUCGGGGAGGCCUUAUAGGGGAGACGACAUGCAACCAGCCUGGACUGAGGUCCGCGCAUCUGCUAGGAUGCUGGCGUAAUGGCUGUAAGCGGCCCGUCUUGAAACACGGACCAAGGAGUCUAACAUCUAUGCGAGUGUUUGGGUGUCAAGCCCAGACGCGUAAUGAAAGUGAACGGAGGUGGGAACCCUUUGGGUGCACCAUCGACCGAUCCUGAUGUCUUCGGAUGGAUUUGAGUAAGAGCAUGGCUGUUGGGACCCGAAAGAUGGUGAACUAUGCUUGAAUAGGGUGAAGCCAGAGGAAACUCUGGUGGAGGCUCGCAGCGGUUCUGACGUGCAAAUCGAUCGUCAAAUUUGGGCAUAGGGGCG
rnacentral:rRNA from 1 species